GUCUUUUCUGUCAAUUGCUUUCGACAGGUGGUCCUUUUGGACAAAAAUUCGUUCCUCGAAGGGCAGGCGCCCGAAGAAGACGACGCCAUUGAUGCGGAUGGGAUUCCUACGGCAGCUAAUCAGCCGAUUCCCACUGAUUGAAGCGGUGGACGACACUGAAUGCAUGCGAGAUCCGCUGCGGCGAAUGGCUGCCUUGACGGUUGCUGGUGUGGAUCAGGUGCCGGCUCCCGCCGCGAGUGCAGACGCACAGAUCUGCUCGAGCGUGGUGUCGUUGGCAGAAGGAAGAACUCGUCGCCGCCCUCGCAGGUCUCCACGGGGAGGCCAGCCCACAAGCUCCUCGGUGGUUAAAGAGAACGGCUGCUUCUUCAGUGCCCAAGCUUGAAAGAUGUUCAUGUCUAUCGAUGUUGUUAUAUGUUGAUCGGAGCAAUCAGAAACGAGGUGAGCCGUGGAUCAGGUUCUCGAUUUCUGUCUGAUCUGUGGCUCAGAAAAGUCGAUGCUCCAUGGAUUCAAUGCAAGGUGAGUCUGCUAUUCCCCAACGCGGCCGUCAUUUUGGAACUUCAGAAGCAAGGGAGGGAGUGGAUGAACACACGACCGACAGCGAUGGAUUUCCUCCUGCGAUCAGGAGAUCCACUCUGAUUGAGGUUGGGGAGAGUCUAGUGCUGGAAGGUUGCCGACACAUGGCACCAGGCGGACAGUGGUCAAGGUGACGCUGCAGGAGGCCAUGGGUGUGAGCGCCAAAGGGCGGAUCGGCGGCGUUGCUGAAGCGGCGGCAGUGACAAGGGGCAGCUCGCCUCUCACUUCCGAGCUGUCGACGGGGAAAAACCGUACUGAUGGAAAUUAGCUCAUGAUUGAGCAAUUCUGUAAAAAAAAAGAUCAAAAUCGAGCAGCGGAGGUCGCAAUCAAGAGUGUGAUGCUUGUUGGUGUGCCGACGGCUGGGGCACAAGAGAACUACUUACCCGGAUCUCGGCGAUGUGCCAAAGCAGCCUCGGAAGCCGGCGAGGUGCAAAAAUUGUGGUGUGGUGGGGCACCAAAGAACAAUUUUACGAAAGCGAUGGAGCUGAGAUUAGCUGGUGGCGUGUAGUGGUGAGUGAAAAAUGCCAAACGAUUUCAGUAAGUUUGAAUUGUCAAUCGCAAGCAUGACUUGUUUUCUGCAUUCAUGAUGUGUUUGUGCAACUGAGCA